rnacentral:rRNA from 1 species
UUUGGGGGCACCCUGCUCCGCAAUGCCGCUUUGAGUGAUGAAGGCCUUAGGGUUGUAAAGCUCUUUUACCGGGGACGAUGAUGACGGUACCCGGAGAAUAAGCCCCGGCUAACUUCGUGCCAGCAGCCGCGGUAAUACGAAGGGGGCGAGCGUUGUUCGGAGUUACUGGGCGUAAAGGGCGCGUAGGCGGCGGACCAAGUUAGGCGUGAAAGCCCCGGGCUCAACCUGGGAAUUGCGCUUAAGACUGGUCUGCUCGAGUGCGGGAGAGGUGAGUGGAAUUCCCAGUGUAGAGGUGAAAUUCGUAGAUAUUUGGAAGAACACCAGUGGCGAAGGCGGCUCACUGGCCCGCAACUGACGCUGAGGCGCGAAA